GAUGAAGAACGUAGCAAAAUGCGAUAAGUAGUGUGAAUUGCAGAAUUCAGUGAAUCAUCGAAUCUUUGAACGCACAUUGCGCCCCUUGGUAUUCCAUGGGGCAUGCCUGUUCGAGCGUCAUUAUAACCCCUCAAGCUCAGCUUGGUGUUGGGGCCUGCUGCACUGGCAGCCCUUAAAAUCAGUGGCGGCGCCAUCUGGCUCUAAGCGUAGUAAUUCUUCUCGCUAUGGAGUCCUGGUGGAUGCUUGCCAUCAACCCCCAAUUUUUCUAUGGUUGACCUCGGAUCAGGUAGGGAUACCCGCUGAACUUAAGCAUAUCAAUAAGCGGAGGA
rnacentral:misc_RNA from 1 species